CCAGGAUCUCCUCCGCGGCGGCCUGCCUCCGAGACCCGUGGCCCUCGUCUCCUGGCUGGCUUGCCAGGUGUCGGUUCACGGGCCGCUCCUGGACACGGAGGACAUGGAGAGACUACCGAAGGCAGCAGGCCACUCCGGAAUGAAAUCAGAAGAUGAAGGAAGGAGGUAUGACUUCAGUGUUCUGUUAAUGGUGCUGCUCAUCUGCUGAUUUGCCCUUUUAAUAGUCUCUCCAUUCGGCAGUCAGAGUAAGCCUUCAGAAAGGAAUCACACCAAGGCAGUGAAGAUUUGGAUUUGGAUGCCAUUAACUGCACCAGGGAAGCCUGGAUAUCUGUCAGAGCCAGCAAGAGGAAACCUCAACAGGUGGUACAUGACCUGCGAGCACUGCCUGCCUCCAGUUGCAAUAACAAUAGCUUUUUCACAUAGCGAGUAAUAAAUACAAAGAAUUUACUGAUGGUAUUAGCCUCCAAAGAUUUGUUAAAGAAUAAUAAUUGACAGAAAUCCUAGAAAUAUUUCAAUAUGAUUAUCAGUUAUUAAAUGAGAAUAGUGUGCUCAGGAUAUAUUUAUGAAAUGAAAACAGACUCAAGUUUACUGCCUGGCAAAUACUCAGCUCCUUAACAAAGUACUUUUAUUUAUGUAGCUAAACAUAUAUAUUAGCAUAUAUACAUCAAGAUGGCUCAUUGAUUUGACUCAGCAUAGAAUUGCAUUUUCAAUUAUAACAUUAAAAAAAUUUUUUUGAAGAUGAACCAGAGUUCUUAUAUUAUGAGUCUCAACCAGGAGUUGGCAGGAUUAUAGUCAAAUGAUCUGAUAGUCUCGAAUAACCUAAAGCUAGCCCCAGAUUGUUUAUUGAUUCCUCCCUGUUUAUUUCCUGCUAUUAUUUUUCAUUUCUCAUUUUCACUAUUCCUCCAACCAGAGAGCACUGUGGCCGGUGUUAUGUCAUGAGUAAGCAUUGAUAGUAGAUGAGGAACCUGAAAAGUUUCAUUAAAUUUCCAGGACACCAGAAUAAGAAUCACUGUACCAGGUUAUUCAUUUACUGAAAGGCAAAAGCUUUUUGCUUUAAAUUCUCUUGUUAUCACCUCAGGGGGCUGAAGAAAUCCUUUGAGUCCUCUGUUGUUCUCAUUUGUUCUGUUUUUCUUGAAGGAGGAAUGCACUAGGUUUGUUUUAUGUACAAUUUUACUCAAUAAACUGAAAUUACAAUAUGGAAAAUGUGUGAUUAUGAAGCAAGCAGAGCAAUAAUUAUUUUGUACAAAACACCAAGAGCCUACCCCUGUGGUAA